rnacentral:rRNA from 1 species
CCUACGGGUGGCAGCAGUGAGGAAUAUUGGUCAAUGGGCGAGAGCCUGAACCAGCCAAGUCGCGUGAGGGAGUACUGCCCUAUGGGUUGUAAACCUCUUUUGUCGGGGAGCAAAAGCCGGACGUGUCCGGCUGUGAGAGUACCCGCAGAAAAAGCAUCUGCUAACUCCGUGCCAGCAGCCGCGGUAUUACGGAGGAUGCGAGCGUUAUCCGGAUUUAUUGGGUUUAAAGGGUGCGCAGGCGGAUUUUUAAGUCAGCGGUAAAAUCGUGGGGCUCAACCCCAUCCAGCCGUUGAAACUGGGGAUCUAGAGUGUGCGAGAGGGAUGCGGAAUGCGUGGUGUAGCGGUGAAAUGCAUAGAUAUCACGCAGAACCCCGAUUGCGAAGGCAGCAUACCGGUGCACAACUGACGCUCAGGCACGAAAGUGUGGGUAUCGAACAGGAUUAGAUACCCGUGUAGUC